GCCGGGGUAGCUCAGUUGGUAGAGCACGGGACUGAAAAUCCCGGUGUGGGCGGUUCGAUUCCGCCUCCCGGCA
rnacentral:tRNA from 1 species